rnacentral:rRNA from 1 species
AACGAACGCUGGCGGCAGGCCUAACACAUGCAAGUCGAGCGAGAACUUCGGUCCUAGCGGCGGACGGGUGAGUAACGCGGGGGAACGUGCCCUUUGCUUCGGAAUAGCCCUGGGAAACUGGGAGUAAUACCGGAUGAGCCCUUUGGGGGAAAGAUUUAUCGGCGAAGGAUGGGCCCGCGUUGGAUCAGGUGGUUGGUGGGGUAAUGGCCUCCCAAGCCGACGAUCCAUAGCUGGGACGUGAGGAUGAUCAGCCACACUGGGACUGAGACACGGCCCAGACUCCUACGGGAGGCGGCAGUGGGGAAUGCUGGCCAGUGGGGUGAACCCUGAUCGCGUCAUGCCGCGAGAGCGAUGAAGGCCGUAGUGUUGUAAAGCUCGUUCAGCUGUGAACAUAAUGACGGUACCAGCAGAAGAAGCCCCGGCUAACUCCGUG